UUNUUUUCCCAAAAGGNAACUGCAAGUCGAGCGAAUGGAUUAAGAGCUUGCUCUUAUGAAGUUAGCGGCGGACGGGUGAGUAACACGUGGGUAACCUGCCCAUAAGACUGGGAUAACUCCGGGAAACCGGGGCUAAUACCGGAUAACAUUUUGAACCGCAUGGUUCGAAAUUGAAAGGCGGCUUCGGCUGUCACUUAUGGAUGGACCCGCGUCACGCAUUAGCUANGUUGGUGAGGUAACGGCUCACCAAGGCAACGAUGCGUAGCCGACCUGAGAGGGUGAUCGGCCACACUGGGACUGAGACACGGCCCAGACUCCUACUGGGAGGCAGCAGUAGGGAAUCUUCCGCAAUGGACGAAAGUCUGACGGAGCAACGCCGCGUGAGUGAUGAAGGCUUUCGGGUCGUAAAACUCUGUUGUUAGGGAAGAACAAGUGCUAGUUGAAUAAGCUGGCACCUUGACGGUACCUAACCAG
rnacentral:rRNA from 1 species